rnacentral:rRNA from 1 species
CCUACGGGAGGCUGCAGUGGGGAAUUUUGGACAAUGGGGGCAACCCUGAUCCAGCCAUUCCGCGUGAGUGAAGAAGGCCUUCGGGUUGUAAAGCUCUUUCGGCCGGGAAGAAAUCGCAUCUCCUAAUACGGGGUGUGGAUGACGGUACCGGAAGAAGAAGCACCGGCUAACUACGUGCCAGCAGCCGCGGUAAUACGUAGGGUGCGAGCGUUAAGGGGAAUUACUGGGCGCGAAUCAUGAAGAGGGGGCUGAAAUCCCCGGGCUUAACCUGGGAACUGCGUUUGGGACUGGUGGGCUUGAGUGCGGCAGAGGGGGGUGGAAUUCCACGUGUAGCAGGGAAAUGCGUAGAGAUGUGGAGGAACACCGAUGGCGAAGGCAGCCCCCUGGGUCGACACUGACGCUCAUGCACGAAAGCGUGGGGAGCAAACAGGAUUAGAUACCCGAGUAGUC